rnacentral:rRNA from 1 species
UACGGAGGGUGCAAGCGUUGUCCGGAAUCACUGGGCGUAAAGGGCGCGUAGGCGGCUCGGUAAGUAGGGGGUGAAAUCCUGCGGCUCAACCGCAGGGCUGCCUUCUAAACUGUCGAGCUCGAGCACGGUAGAGGCAGAUGGAAUUCCCGGUGUAGCGGUGGAAUGCGUAGAGAUCGGGAAGAACAUCAGUGGCGAAGGCGGUCUGCUGGGCCGUUGCUGACGCUGAGGCGCGACAGCGUGGGGAGCAAACGGG